AGCAUUUUGGAUUCGGGCUGAAAUUUUGUCAGACACCAACCCAUUAGGACUGAUCAAACUUCCAAGAUAAGUGAAGUU
rnacentral:pre_miRNA from 1 species